AACGAACGCUGGCGGCAGGCUUAACACAUGCAAGUCGAGCGCCCCGCAAGGGGAGCGGCAGACGGGUGAGUAACGCGUGGGAAUCUACCCAUCUCUACGGAAUAACGCAUGGAAACGUGUGCUAAUACCGUAUACGUCCUUCGGGCGAAAGAUUUAUCGGAGAUGGAUGAGCCCGCGUUGGAUUAGCUAGUUGGUGGGGUAAAGGCCUACCAAGGCGACGAUCCAUAGCUGGUCUGAGAGGAUGAUCAGCCACACUGGGACUGAGACACGGCCCAGACUCCUGCGGGAGGCAGCAGUGGGGAAUAUUGGACAAUGGGCGCAAGCCUGAUCCUGCCAUGCCGCGUGAGUGAUGAAGGCCCUAGGGUUGUAAAGCUCUUCCACCGGUGAAGAUAAUGACGGUAACCGGAGAAGAAGCCCCGGCUAACUUCGUGCCAGCCGCCGCAGUAAGAC
rnacentral:rRNA from 1 species